UGAUUUGCCAAAUCCAUCUUCCUUUAAUUAUAUACUAUUGUUGUGUCUGAAAUGAGUGUCCAUGGCUGUCUGAGCUCAGCACAGCAGCCUUUGUGCUAAUGUCAAUGUUAGGUAUAGCCACCUUGAUGCAUAGGUGUCCAUAGGAAUGCUCUGAAAAUGCCAUUAAGAUCAUUGAUGAUAGAUAUAGGUAGUAUGAGAAUGCAAGUCCAGUUGGAAUGGAUGCUCAUAAGGACUGAUUUCACCAAUUGUAGUCUGCCUGCAUAGGAGAGAGAUUUUGUUCUCCAGUAUGAAAUUGUGUUGGUAAUUUUGUUGACUAACAUCGCAGUCCACUGAAGUUAGGCUAGUAGAAAUCAGAGGGAGCUCAAGAUAUUUAAUACCUAAGAGGUUUGAGUUGAUAAGCUCAGUAGAUGGGUUAAGGCCUGAGAAAAAUGUAGAACUUUUGUAGAGGUUAAUAGAAUGUGGUGAUAGUUUGGAAAAGUGGUGAAAGGCUUGCUUGAGAUUUCUUACAGAAUCAACACUGCCAUGACUCGAAGCAAUUUAUUUUUUUAUAUAUACAUUUUUAUACAAUUUUAAAAAUUAAACUCCAGCUUAUAUAUACUCAUAUAUGGAAAUUGAAUUUUAAAGAUAUCUCGAGAACUCUAUGUCUUUCUUUUAAUAGGAAAAACUAAAAAAAAUCUAUCGCUAAGCUUUUCUCUCUCUCUAAAUGCAGAUUCUGUAGUCUAGUCCCCCAAUUUAUUAUAUACGCACAUGAAUUAUGCUAUAUAAAAAUUUUGACGGAUAUAAAUUUUUCUAUCUGUUUUAAAAACCUAACCCGGGAACCGUCACUGCUGGCAUUUCUAAAAUCUUGUUAUGUUAUUUUAAUUUAUCUUCACAUGCAUCGUGACACGUGCCUUAUCGACCCAACUUUGAGCCACUCAUUUGUCACUUGAACCCCAGAUGCAUUCUUGGAGGCUUCGCUAUAAAUAUCACCCACAUUUUCCCAUUGUUUCAACAUUGUGUCAUCUCUCUUUCUCUUCCAGUGUUUUAGUUUCUUUCUCUAGAUUGAGAGGGAACGAUGUUGAAAGAUCUAUUACUGAAGCAUAUUAUCGAAGUCUCUCAUCAAUGUGGAGGAUUAUAUGUGAGGACAUAAUUAUGUGGUGAUCUGACCUUGUAUGAGAGGUUUUGGAAGCAGAUGGAGGAGAAAACCACAAUUAUGAUAUCAGGAUGUAGUUCUUAAGUUAUUUAUUUAUUUUUUUAAUAAUUAUUUUUCUUAACAUCAAAAAAUAACUUAAGGACUGCCAUCCUGAUAUCAAAUUAUGGUAUCUUAAGGAUUCAAGAAGAGCUAUUGUGGUCAGAACAUGCUAAUAGAAAUGUCUCCCAGCCAAAACAAAUACUCUAUUCUAGAAUGUUACGCUAGCUUUUUACUGCUUGAUGGUCCCGAG